AUGUUUUAUGGGCUUUGUACGGUUUAGAUUUUGACACGUCUACAUCUCACGUGGGCCCCUUUGUAGUAUUUAAUUGUAUAUAUCAACCGCGUUUUGGCAUUAUAUGGGUAAAAACACUUCAAAAAGAAGAUUUUAUUUCAUAAAACUUAAACAUUUAUUUAUGGGAAAUUAUAUAAACCAAAUAUUUGAAAAAAAAUAAUCUAAUGAAUUAAAGAAUUUUUAUAUUUAUUUUUAACACCUAAUAAUAAUAAUUUAAAAUAGACCCAUAAUUUGCUUUAUUUUCUUUUUCAUUUAACAUGAGUUUUAAUAAUAAGUUGUAAUAAUUUCACAAAUUUGAGAAAUGUGAUAAAGACUAACU
rnacentral:lncRNA from 1 species